GGGGAAGGGACAUGGUGCAUGGUGCAUGGAGCUCAAAACCUAGCAGGGGAAAUGACCAACUACACAAAUAAUAUUGAUACAUGGCAAAAAUCUGGCCAAAUUGUGCUCUUCAGAUAAGAAGAACAUUUCAUUUCCUAAUCUUCCUGAAUUUCCCCACCAGAGAGCUGCACCAUAAACAGAUCUUUAGCUGUGGAAAGAUUUGUUACGUGUAGCAGGAGAUGGAAGACCUGAAGUCAAAGGGAAGGUUGUUUCUCUUUGCACCAGAGUUUCUCCACAUCCUGACUGGGAGUACAGACAGGCAACAGGAGGUGAAAGUUGCCUUGUGCUGGUAGAUGGAAGUUGGUCCACUGGCCUCUAGCAAUGUUCUAUCAAGGGCCAUCUACAGCAGGAGAUGGAAAGCCCAUACCAUACACUAUAUAGAAUACUGUAUACUAAAUCAGAAUUAUCAAAACAUGUUGCCCACAACA